CCAACAUCAAACUGGUUUUGAGUUUCUUGAAGGAAGUCACCAAAGCUGUUGUGUUUGCUAGUACCAUUCAUAGUGUCAGGGAAACAAGAUUCUAUUCCUCUGCCUGAUGCGUGUUUCUCAUCUCCUUUUUAUCUAAGCUACUCCUGAAAGCACUUCAAGAUUUCGUCAGGCAUAAUUUCUUCUAGAAGGAUGGUGGCAUCUUCACUGCCUUCAAGCCUUCACACUCUCCUGCCUGAAUACGUUUGCAUCCGUGCGUACCGAGAUCCGCCUUUCUCCUAAGUGUGGAUGAGAGUUAAAUGAUGUGAAUAAGGUUUGCCAGUGGUGGAGUGCAGGGCUGGCAUUGAGAUCACCCAAACACAUGUGUUCUUCUGCUCUGGCUGGA